rnacentral:rRNA from 1 species
ACGACUACAUUAGAUACCCCCGUAGUCCCAGCCCUAAACGAUGCGCGUUAGGUGUAUCGGUGACCACGAGUCACCGAGGUGCCGAAGGGAAACCGUGAAACGUGCCGCCUGGGAAGUACGGUCGCAAGGCUAGAAACUUAAAGGAAUUGGCGGGGGAGCACCACAACGGGUGGAGCCUGCGGUUUAAUUGGACUCAACGCCGGGAAGCUCACCGGAUAAGACAGCGGAAUGAUUGCCGGGCUGAAGACCCUGCAUGACCAGCUG